GAAAAAAUAUGACAUCAGAUUUGACCUAAUUUUUUGGGUACACCUCUGUUAUCCAUUGCUGGAAACAGAUAGCGGCUAGGGUUUGUCUCUGUUGUUGCAUUCUAUUUUCUUCUUCUGUGGAAAAUCCUUUCAAACUGAGUCCCCUUUCCAUUAUGCUCACAAUCUUCUCCACGCUACUUCUAUGUUCCUGGAGAUGAAGGGAAUUAGCCCUGCAUUUGUCAUUCUUAAAGCAUCACUUUGUCAUGAAGGUUGAGUGCUUUCUUGACCUAAUUCAGAUAAAUCACGUUAGGAUUUUUGUAUUACUUCAAGAAAGCAUUCAACAUUCAUGAGAAGUGAUUCCAGAAGGAUAUAUAUAUCAACCGAAUUGCUUACGCUACUUUCAUAAAGGGUUGUCAACAAAGCCUGAUCACACUCUAGUCAAAGGUAGAGUUGCAAAGGAGGGUUAUGGUUUGUAUUCUGAAAUUAUUUCUAAGAGAAUUUUUCAUAACCUUUUGAUCUAUGAUACUCUACUUUAUGGCUUUUUCAUUGCUGAUAAUUUACAGGAAAUGCAGAGGAGUAUGGUUUCAGAGAUAGUGAUGCAUAAUUGAAAUCAACAACCAGAUAGCUGAUCUGUAUGGUAGUAAUGUUUUUAAUGUAUUGCUGUGUUUUACAUCUAUUACCAUAGAACUUGUUGUAGGUUAAAUGACAAGAUCUAUGUUAUUUUUCGCUCUGCAUAAUUGUUUGGGAUGGUGAUAACUUUUUUGACAACGGGACAUGUGUCAUCAUUUUAUUGGUCUAUUUGAAUUUACAUUUGAAAAAUAUUUAAAAUGAAUCAAUCAUAAACUAUAACAUAUGCAUUAUAAAAAAGUGUUGUUAAAAGAAGUUUUUCCAAUUGUUUGUGUUACUUCAAGUACUUGGUUUAUGUUUUUAACGUAGUUUCCACUUUUUUUCAAACCACAGUUUCAAAAGUAGAGAGAUAGCUACAAGAACAAAGAUAUUGAAAUAUAUUUGGAGCAUGGAAACUACAACUAAUCAUUAACAUCACAUUCAAAUGGAAGAGGAUGCAUAUAUAACUUUGCAAAAUGUUUCUUUAACCAUUUUUUUGCCAUUAAAUUUUUCUAAUUCUGAAGUCAUAUUUCUUAUUCUCUAAUUUAAAUUGGAUUACAGAAGCUUAAAUUUAUCAUCUUUUUUCGAGAGAAUCGGUCAAUAUGAUCUAAUCUUAUUGAAUCAAAUCUAAAACAAUUUAAAUGUAAAAUAAAGGUUUAAAUAACUUAACCAAGGACGAUUCCUUCCUUAAACCUAAUGCUUAAAAAAGUAUCCAGUUUACUUUUUAUGAUUCAAUUAUGUUCAACAUACUUCUAAACUUUAGAAAUUGUUUUAAUUUGAGUGAUUUAAUUAUUAUAUUAUAUUAUCAUAUGCAAGAAGUCAUGUUAGUGUAUAUAUUUGUGUAAUAGUACUUAUUAUUGCAUCAUAAUAUAUUACAGUACUUAUUGGAGUAAGUAAGAAUCCUGCAAAUCAUCUAUUUUUUUUCAUUAGCACAGUUUUUAAUAGAUUCAUAAUUUGGUUUCAGGAAACUGAAUUUGUAAUAUCUUUUGAAAUGUUUUUAUAAAAAUUAAAAUUAGAAACUUGUUUGUCAAGAAAAUGAAUUAUGUGAAUGGUUUGGAUUUUUAACUUACAGAAAUUUAUUUUUAUUUUUUACUUUUAAAUCUUUUCCACUCUUUCUCUUCUUUUAUUUCUCUUUUACCUAUCAGCCGAAGCCCCCUCUCCCCUUUAAAGAAAAAGUUAUGAUAAAAUAUGUAUAUUAUUAUUUUUUAUUAGUACUAUUAUGAUUAUUAAUUAUCAAAACAUAAAUUUGUUCAUAUUAUUAUUAUUAUUAAUUGUAAUAUUUAAUCUUAUUAAUUUUUUUGUAUUAUUUUUAUAUCAUGUAUAGAGUUUUUCUACUUUAUCUAUAUAUGUGUGAGGAAGGAAAAUUUAAAAGGGAAAAAAAAUAUGACAUCAGAUUUGACCUAAUUUAUUCCACUUUGGUACUCCCCUGUUAUCUAUUGCUGGAAACAAAUAGCGGCUAGGGUUUCUCUCUGUUGUUGCAUUCCCAAGUUUUCUUCUUUUUGGCCAAAUCCUUUCUCACAGAGUCCCCUUUUCAUGAUGUUCACAAUCUUCUGUUUUCGUUUUCUAAGCAGAUGGAGAUUAAGAGAAUUAGCCCUGAAUUUGUCAUUCUUUAAGCGUCACUUGUCAUGAAAGUUGAGUGCUUUCUUGACCUAAUUUAGAUAAAUCACGUUAGGAUUUUUGUAUUAGGUUAACAAAGCAUUCAAAUUCAUGAUAAAUGAUUACAGAGGAAUAUGUCAACCGAAUUACUUACGCCACUUUAGUAAAGGGUUGUCAACAAAGCCUGAUCACAGUCUAUUAGUUG
rnacentral:lncRNA from 1 species